GGCAGGAUGGCCGAGUUGGUUAUGGCGCCAGGUUAGGGUUAAUAGUCUUAACACAAACUCCUGGUUCGGGGGGUUCAAGUCCCACUCCUGUCA